rnacentral:rRNA from 1 species
GAUCCUGGCUACAGAACGAACGCUGGCGGCAUGCCUAACACAUGCAAGUCGAACGAGACCUUCGGGUCUAGUGGCGCACGGGUGCGUAACGCGUGGGAACCUGCCUUUAGGUUCGGAAUAACUCAGAGAAAUUUGAGCUAAUACCGGAUAAUGUCUUCGGACCAAAGAUUUAUCGCCUUUAGAUGGGCCCGCGUUGGAUUAGCUAGUUGGUGGGGUAAAGGCCUACCAAGGCGACGAUCCAUAGCUGGUCUGAGAGGACGAUCAGCCACACUGGGACUGAGACACGGCCCAGACUCCUACGGGAGGCAGCAGUGGGGAAUAUUGGACAAUGGGCGAAAGCCUGAUCCAGCAAUGCCGCGUGAGUGAUGAAGGCCUUAGGGUUGUAAAGCUCUUUUACCCGAGAUGAUAAUGACAGUAUCGGGAGAAUAAGCUCCGGCUAACUCCGUG